GGUCCUAUGGCUAAGAUGGCAAAGCGCCUGCCUAGUAAGCAGGAGAUCACGAGUUCGAGUCUCGUGGGGACCU
rfam:Daphnia pulex DAPPTscaffold_242_Cont7714, whole genome shotgun sequence.